CAAUAGCGUAUAUUAAAGUUGUUGCGGUUAAAAAGCUCGUAGUUGGAUCUCGGCAGGCAGGGGGUGGUUCGCUCUUAGCGCUACUGCCCCAUUUGCCUGUGUGAUUGGCGGAGGUUUCGGGGUGCUCUUCGUUGAGUGACCCGGGGCGCCGUCAGGUUUACUUUGGAAAAAUUAGAGUGCUCAAAGCAGGCUUUUCACGCUUGAAUAUUCGUGCAUGGAAUAAUGGAAUAGGAACUCGUUUCUAUUUUGUUGGUUUUCGGAAAUCGAGUUAAUGAUUAAUAGGGACAAUUGGGGGCAUUAGUAUUCAGACGACAGAGGUGAAAUUCUUGGACCGUCUGAAGACUAACUACUGCGAAAGCAUUUGCCAAGAGUGUUUUCAUUAA
rnacentral:rRNA from 1 species